rnacentral:misc_RNA from 1 species
CAAUUCUUCUGAAGAUUCUAAAUCAUUUUGAUAACCUUGAGAACAUAUUGCGAUUGAACCAUUUCAAUCAAAUAUUAAGCGUGAUGCAGGGGAGCUCUAGGACCAUCGUCAAUACGCAGAUCCUUAGUAUUGCUACAAGGAAUUCUUGUAUUAGAGAUCCUACAACCAUUCAAUUCCUUUUUGAAGUUUCAAGGUCCUUGCAUGAUAGCAUAAAUCUCUCAACUAUUAAGGAAAAGGAG